UCCUAAACUAUUCCGGCAGCUAAUCUAAUUUUCAUCAAAGUUUUAAAAAGAAUCCCAAAAUUAAAUUCGAAUCUAGCCUAGCUUGAUUGAGGUUGGUCUACCUUUCUUAAAAUUAAGUUAAUUUAUUUGUUCUUCGUUAAAUUUAUUCUACAACUUUUAGAUACAACUCUACACUUCUAGUUACAACAAUAUACUUCAAGAUACAGCUUUACACUUAUACAGUAUGGAGGUGGUGGAAGACCAGUGGGUUGGUUGCGAGGAAGUGCAGUUGUGGACAGUACAACGGGUAAAAUAAACUAUGCCUGGCUCAGAAACAAAAGGCAGAUGAAAGCCUCAGAGAUGGCAGCACUGAACAACAAUAUAUGCUUUCCUUUCUCUUCAACAACAUUAAGAAGAUAGAGCGACAUCUAGGUCUCCCAUAGAUAUUUUUUGCAAUUUCAUUAGCAUUGUUAGCUAUAAUAUAGA